rnacentral:tRNA from 1 species
AGUCCCGUAGGGUAGCGGCAAUCCUUUUGGGCCCUGGACCCAAAGACAGCGGUUCGACCCCGCUCGGGACUAC